ensembl:lncRNA
GGUGAGCAGGAAGUGUUAAGUACAUCAAGGCUUUGGUGAGACGCAGGCACUCCAGAGCGUCAGGGGCUUGUCCCCUUGGUGAGAUCACCAGGCAGUGGCAUCUCAGACAUCCGCUUGGAGCUAAAUACAGGCUACUGCACUUUGCACCUCCUAUCAUGAUGAAAGGAAGAGAAAACUUGGGUUUUGGAGGCGGCACACUCCAUACCUGGGGACCCUGAAGAGACACAUACGCCAGGGCUAAAACGAUGGAUGGCUGGAGAGAGGAGCCAACAGAGGAGGUUGGACAGGUUCAACAGGAGGAACGAGAGGCAGCAGCAGAGUUUAAGAAAAGCCAUCUUUUACUGCACAAGCAAGGAUCCAAAAGAAGAAAUGGCACAGGGGGAGAUACGGCUAAUAAAGCAGAUUUGGACUUUCUUACUACUUGGGGGCAAGGACCCCCUGGUCUCUAACUCCCAUGGUAACAUGACAUAGUAGGAAGGACAGUAACAUAUGCAGCUCUUGAUUUUGAAGAUGACUGUAUGUGGUCGGGCUCCACCCUGCGUUACACAAAAGAAAUACAAAGACAAACGGAGCCUUCUGCUUGGACUUCCGGUGCGGACCUGACAGCCCCCACGUGUGAGGCGCCCGUCGGCCAGGACCCGCAGAGUCACCUGCAGCAGGGACUCUCCCCGCCGAGCCCCACCAGACAGAAGAGGGCUCUAGAGCUCCUCGCCAGCUCAUCACGGCACAGCCGCUGUUUGUUGCCAGGUCUCUUUCGGCAGUGGAUGGCCUCUCCUUCUCUGCGGGCUGCCUGAGUCUCUGCAUUCCAGGACACCGGUAUCAAGGCGGAUCCGUGUGUCCUGUCCUUGCCCUGCUGGAUUCCACUUUGAGUGAGGGUCUGAAGCCAUUUCCCCCUCGAGUUUCAUGAAAUGGUCUGCAUGUACCAACUAGGGUCUGCAGCCCUGCUUACUGCAACCAUUUAGAGGGCAAAUUAUCUGAAAAGUGGCGGAUGCGCCAUCAGCUUGAAGACCAAAAGGGAAAUGUCCAGUAGGCAAACUGAUCCCACGUGCAGAUCCGUUUCUAAAACGUCACCCACCAUUCCCGUGUCAGUCCUGGAGGGCCCGGAGCUUUCAGCUGAUUAGUCUUGGAGCAAGCUCACAGGCAACCAUCAUUUUGCUUCAUUUAACAGCUUUACAGCUACACUGCCAUUUCCGUGCCCUCAUCAGCUGACUGGCCUUAAGGCUGACUGAUAAACACGCGAAUGAUGGCAGAAGUCACCCGAGGGAUGAGCACAGCACCCUAUUGUAACUUCAGCAUCUCCCUGGCUGGACUGGCAAAGACCCCAGAGUAGCACAGGCCUCCGGAUGCUGCAGUGCUGGGGGCACCUGGAGAGGGGCAGUUUUUAAUUGAACAUUUUUCGGGCAUCUGUUCAUUUUGCUCUCUCAGCACUCCUUCUUUCCUGUUAACAGCACCCUCUUCCUUUGGGGACUGGCUUCCCAAGUGGCACUGGAGGUAAAGAACCCACCUGCCAAUCCAGGAGACAUAAGAGACAUAGGUUUGAUUCCUGGGUUGGGAAGAUGCCCUGGAGGAGGGCAUGGCAACCCAGUCCAGGAUUCUUGCCUGG